CCCAGGCUCUCUGCACCAUGUGCUCUGCCCUCACCACUCUACAGAUUGUGAAAGUGCUAACCCUGUACACCCCAGUGAUUGAAUUUGAGGAACGGGUUUCAAUAUCCUUCAUUAGAACCAUACAGGCCCUGUUGAAAGGCCGUGUUGAGUCACCGCUGCUACUUAUGGACACCAAGAAGAUAUUCUCUGUGACAUUUCCCUUCACCC